GACGAACGCUGGCGGCGUGCUUAACACAUGCAAGUCGAACGGAAAGGCCCUGCUUUUGUGGGGUGCUCGAGUGGCGAACGGGUGAGUAACACGUGAGUAACCUGCCCUUGACUUUGGGAUAACUUCAGGAAACUGGGGCUAAUACCGGAUAGGAGCUCCUGCUGCAUGGUGGGGGUUGGAAAGUUUCGGCGGUUGGGGAUGGACUCGCGGCUUAUCAGCUUGUUGGUGGGGUAGUGGCUUACCAAGGCUUUGACGGGUAGCCGGCCUGAGAGGGUGACCGGCACCAUGGGGGAGGAGAGACGGCCCAGACGCCUACGGGAGGCAGCAGUGGGGAAUAUUGCACAAGGGGCGGAAGCCUGAUGCAGCAACGCCGGGUGCGGGAUGACGGCCUUCGGGUUGUAGACCGCUUUCGCCUGUGACGAAGCGUGAGGGACGGGAAUGGGGAAAGAAGCACCGGCGAACUACGU
rnacentral:rRNA from 1 species